AGCAGUAGCCGCGGGAAAACGUAGGGUGCGAGCGUUAAUCGGAAUUACUGGGCGUAAAGCGUGCGCAGGCGGUUAUAUAAGACAGAUGUGAAAUCCCCGGGCUCAACCUGGGAACUGCAUUUGUGACUGUAUAGCUAGAGUACGGCAGAGGGGGAUGGAAUUCCGCGUGUAGCAGUGAAAUGCGUAGAUAUGCGGAGGAACACCGAUGGCGAAGGCAAUCCCCUGGGCCUGUACUGACGCUCAUGCACGAAAGCGUGGGGAGCAAACAGGAUUAGAUACCCCGGUAGUCCCUGUCUCUUAUAC
rnacentral:rRNA from 1 species